CUUAACAUGCAGUCGACGGCAGCGCGGGAGCAAUCCUGGCGGCGAGUGGCGAACGGGUGAGUAAUACAUCGGAACGUGUCCUGUAGUGGGGGAUAGCCCGGCGAAAGCCGGAUUAAUACCGCAUACGCUCUACGGAGGAAAGGGGGGGAUCUUAGGACCUCUCGCUACAGGGGCGGCCGAUGGCGGAUUAGCUAGUUGGUGGGGUAAAGGCCUACCAAGGCGACGAUCCGUAGCUGGUCUGAGAGGACGACCAGCCACACUGGGACUGAGACACGGCCCAGACUCCUACGGGAGGCAGCAGUGGGGAAUUUUGGACAAUGGGGGCAACCCUGAUCCAGCAAUGCCGCGUGUGUGAAGAAGGCCUUCGGGUUGUAAAGCACUUUUGUCCGGAAAGAAAUCAUCCUGGUUAAUACCUGGGGUGGAUGACGGUACCGGAAGAAUAAGCACCGG
rnacentral:rRNA from 2 species